AAAUGUCAACGUGGGAAAACGAGAUCUUGAGGUUUUUUACAGGCUGCUGGGCGCAGUUGUUGCCAAAGGUUCAGCUUGCGGAGGAUGUGAAGGGAACUCUUCCGGCGAUCUCGAAAACCCCAGGCCAUAAAUGGGACCGAAAAGGCCGCUCCCCAAGGUCGCUGUAAGACCUUUCAAAGAAGCAGCGGUCCGUUACAGCACAACGUGUUCACGUCACAGGGUGCUCUAAUACCAACUAAACUUUGAAAUAAAACGUAUUAAAAGUCACUUUUCUUGCACAACUUUAUUUGUAACACUUAAUAUAAUACAAAUAUUGUUGGUUUGUAAAAAAGUCCAGCGCCAUUCCAAACAUUUUAAAGAUUGAGACUAAGGCCCUAGAAGGGACUUUUUGUGCACAUUAUUAAGCUCAACGAUGGUCGUCCUAGUCUUUCUAUUAUAAAUGACGGUACAUGGAAGACACUGAAAUAAGACUACACGAAUGACAAGAAGAAGUAUCUAAACUUUUGUUGUUUCUUAUAUCGAUUAAAAAAUGUACACUACGACAUCAUCUCCAUCUCUCAGGAAGUGGCUGAUCAUGUGACCAAAGUUAUGAUCAAUGUAUCUAGAGUGGCGCACGUGGCCGUUUGAAAAUUUUCCAAUGGGAGUUAUUUUGUCAGCUGCUGUA